GGAAAUUACUCAGGAUGCUUCUGCAAUUUGCAAAUGGAAUGGACUGGCAAGCAAGGAGCCUGGGAAGGAGGACCCAGCCAGCCACGGGGAGUGGAGGAAAUCAUGGAAGGAGCCCUUGAAGACCACGAGGGGUGCUCGAAAGAGCAGGAAAACGCAGUCUGAGAGGCGGAAGAAGUACCUUUUUUGCUCCUUGCUCCUCUUCCACACCAUCACCGAUCACCACGUAGACAGCUUUUCUGCCGAAUCUCUGCAUUAUCCUCUCGAAGCAGCUUUCCUUCCCUGCACGCACACAGGAAGGAAAGAAAAAACGCUCUGUGAGGACCCCGGAUUGCAGCCAAUACCCGUUCAUUAAGAGCUCGGUGCCUGCAGCUGUGCUCCCAAAAGCCCGGUAUUCAUCAUUUCGUUCUUGAGCAAACUUCUGAGGCAUGCUGUGAAGAGUAAAGGAGCUAGUCCAUGAAAACGGUGACAAAACUGGCAGAGCGAGUGCUCCUUAAACAUUAGCUACUGCCAGGACCGCGCUUAGCACGUGGGCUGCA
rnacentral:lncRNA from 1 species